GUGCCAGCAGCCGCGGUAAUACGAAGGGGGCUAGCGUUGCUCGGAAUGACUGGGCGUAAAGGGCGUGUAGGCGGUUUGUACAGUCAGAUGUGAAAUCCCCGGGCUUAACCUGGGAGCUGCAUUUGAUACGUGCAGACUAGAGUGUGAGAGAGGGUUGUGGAAUUCCCAGUGUAGAGGUGAAAUUCGUAGAUAGUUGGGAAGAACGACCGGUGGACGAAGGCCGGCAACCUGGCUCAUUACUGACGCUGAAGGCACGAAAGCGUGGGAGCAAAC
rnacentral:rRNA from 1 species